rnacentral:rRNA from 1 species
CGGAAGGCAGCAGUGAGGAAUAUUGGUCAAUGGACGAGAGUCUGAACCAGCCAAGUAGCGUGCAGGAUGACGGCCCUAUGGGUUGUAGACUGCUUUUGUACGGGAAUAAAGUGACCUACGUGUAGGUUUUUGCAUGUACCGUAAGAAUAAGGACCGGCUAAUUCCGGGCCAGCAGCCGCGGUAAUACGGAAGGUUCGGGCGGUAUCCGGAUUUAUUGGGUUUAAAGGGAGCGUAGGCCGUGCUUUAAGCGUGUUGUGAAAUGUAGGCGCCCAACGUCUGCACUGCAGCGCGAACUGGAGCACUUGAGUACGCAGGAAGUAGGCGGAAUUCGUCGUGUAGCGGUGAAAUGCUUAGAUAUGACGAAGAACUCCGAUUGGGAAGCCAGCUUACUGUAGCGCCACUGACGCUGAUGCUCGAAAGCGUGGGUAUCGAACAGGAUUAGAUACCCUGGUA